rnacentral:lncRNA from 1 species
ACAGCCAUAGGGGAUGGAACUGAUUGGAUACUACAGCCAUAGGGGAUGGAACUGAUUGGAUACUACAGCCAUAGGGGAUGGAACUGAUUGGUUACUACAGCCAUAGGAGAUGGAACUGAUUGGUUACUACAGCCAUAGGGGAUGGAACUGAUUGGAUACUACAGCCAUAGGGGAUGGAACUGAUUGGAUACUACAGCCAUAGGGGAUGGAACUGAUUGGAUACUACAGCCAUAGGGGAUGGAACUGAUUGUGAAUGCACACAGGUGCAGAUAAGAGGUCAAUCUCAGUGUGUUCUGCAGGUAUACAACUACAUCCAUCCUGCUAGUCUACAGUAAAAGUGCCUGGAAGAACCUUUUGUGUUGCUACACAGGCCGAACCUUUCCAGUUAAACCUGGAACCUCUCUGAAAAGGGUCUUCAAGGAACCCCUGUGUAAAUGUUGGAGCCAGAACCUUGUUGUGAUGGG